GAAUGCAGUCGAACGGGGGCUUCGGCCCAGUGGCGAACGGUCGCGUAACACGUGGGCAACCUGCCCUGAAGUGGGGGAUAACAGUUCGAAAGGACUGCUAAUACCGCAUGUGCUCCUCUCCGGCAUCGGAGUGGAUCAAAGGAUUUAUUCGCUUCAGGAUGGGCCCGCGGCCUAUCAGCUUGUUGGUGGGGUAACGGCCCACCAAGGCUUCGACGGGUAGCUGGUCUGAGAGGACGGCCAGCCGGAUUGGGGCUGAGAUACGGCCCAGACUCCUACGGGGGGCAGCAAUUAGGAAUCUUGCGCAAUGGGGGCAACCCUGACGCAGCGACGCCGCGUGACAGGAUGAAAUACUUCGGUAUGUAAACUUCUUUUAU
rnacentral:rRNA from 1 species